rnacentral:tRNA from 1 species
GGUCCGUUAGCUCAGUCCGGCAGAGCGUGGUGCUGAUAACGCCAAGGUCGUGAGUUCGACCCUCACACGAACCA